rnacentral:lncRNA from 1 species
AAUAAAGGUAAAACAGAAAAUAAAAUAAACAAAAUAUUAAGGUUAAAAAAAGCUGAAACAGAUAAAGGCUUAAAGGGAUAGUUCGGGAUUUUUGACAUGAAUCUGUAUGGCAUCAACAUGACCAGUUUCGUGCAUUCUCACUGACUUACCCCCGACCAUGUCCGGUGAGCGGAGUUCUUGUCCAGUAUUGUCCGAGCCGAAAGUAGUCCGGCAUGUUUGCUGGGGUCACGAAACGAAAGCGUUUUUCUUCCCAAAACAGUACGAGUGCAAAAGAGUGAUUUAUUUGCAUAACAAAACGGUGUCUGCAAAAGUCACGCCUCAUUAUCACUGGGGCACUACUUUCAUUUUGGAUCAGUGCGCGCGAUUGCGCAACCUGGCAGCUAGCCUACGGUUUCGAUUUCACUGUUUACUGUUCGGGAACAUGUCGGACUACGAGAGCGACGAGGAAUAUAUUGAUUUCCGCUCAGAGUCAAGGGGGUAUCUUUAUGAGCCUGAGUAUACUGAGGAGGAACUUGCCCAAAUCGAAUUGGAUCGUGCAGAAAGAGAGAGGGUGGACAGAGAAAUGAUUGAGACCGAAGCUGGAGCCGCUGCUGCUGCUGCUGCGAUACCAAGGGUGGCCGACAAAUCCUGGUGCACUUGUUUGAAGUGCGAACUAAUGCCGACAGAGGUGGAAUGUUACUGCUGCCACGAGUGGGAUUUAGUUAUGCCCGAGAUACAGAACCUGUCAAUUGAUGAGGACGUCGGCGGGCCAGCUGCUGCCUGCAUCACAAACAACAGCGCGCACCGCAAACACGAAGCUUCUUCAUUUUCACCACUUUGGUGUCCACAUGGAAGCCCAUUGCAAGUAUCCAAAGUUGCCUGAGAGCAAUGUCAGUCACGGGGAUACGAUGGAAACUGUGCGGAGAAUCAGCCACAUCUUUGUUGCUACAGCCUGGAUAAUCACAAGUCCGCACCAUUUUAACACACACACAUACAAAUGUAUAAAUCUGUGUUCAAGAAGCUUAUAAAAGCCGAUAAACUUCUCUCUAAAGCUUGCUCUUUGCGUUGCUGGUUGAAGCUGAGCGCAGCCAAUGAUCUGAAAGACUAGUGCGCUGCUCGCAGUUAGAAUGACAUGCGCACUGAUCCAAAAUGAAAGUAGUGCCCCAGUGAUAAUGAGGCGUGACUUUUGCAGACACCGUUUUUUGUUAUGCAAAUAAAUCACUCUUUUGCACUCGUACUGUUUUGGGA